CUGCUAAAACCUGAAUAACUUUUUAUUCUCUCACUGGGACCCUCAGCCCGGCUCCCGGUUGCCCAGAUGACGCACUCUGUGGUUCACUUUCUGAAUUUCAUGCCACAUCUGACCGGGAUUGUCUGGACCAUGUCAUCUCUGACGCCACGGGAGAAGAUGGCCCGGGUUUCUAUUGAUGUGAUAAUUUUGGAGACUCGAUCCAAAGGGAUCAAGGAGGGGGAGGAGGGGGAGGAGGAAGCUCCCAGAAGCCGUGCAGGAUGCAGGGAACUACCUCUAUUACCACUUCCUGUGCGGUGAGCAGUUUGGAGCAAUGCUCCUGCUUCUUCUCUUUAAGGAUUUCAAUGUAAUUUCUGACCAUGUUGAGGAGUUCAGGUGUUCUGUAGAAUAAAGUUAAAAGAAGGAUCUGAACA